rnacentral:rRNA from 1 species
GGAAUAUUGGGCAAUGGCCGAGAGGCUGACCCAGCCAUGCCGCGUGCAGGAAGAAGGCCUUCUGGGUUGUAAACUGCUUUUAUCGGGGAAGAAAACGCUCCUGCGGGAGUAACUGACGGUACCCGAUGAAUAAGCACCGGCUAACCCCGUGCCAGCAGCCGCGGUAAUACGGAGGGUGCAAGCGUGGUCCGGAUUUAUUGGGUCUAAAGGGUGCGUAGGCGGCCCGUUAAGUCAGCGGUGAAAUCCCAGGGCUCAACCCUGGAACUGCCGUUGAUACUGGCGGGCUUGAGUUCGGUCGAGGCGGGCGGAACUGGUGGUGUAGCGGUGAAAUGCAUAGAUACCACCAAGAACCCCGAUUGCGUAGGCAGCUCGCUGGCCCGAAACUGACGCUGAGGCACGAAAGCGUGGGGAGCGAACA